rnacentral:rRNA from 1 species
GACGAACGCUGGCGGCGUGCUUAACACAUGCAAGUCGAACGGAAAGGCCCUGCUUUUGUGGGGUGCUCGAGUGGCGAACGGGUGAGUAACACGUGAGUAACCUGCCCUUGACUUUGGGAUAACUUCAGGAAACUGGGGCUAAUACCGGAUAGGAGCUCCUGCUGCAUGGUGGGGGUUGGAAAGUUUCGGCGGUUGGGGAUGGACUCGCGGCUUAUCAGCUUGUUGGUGGGGUAGUGGCUUACCAAGGCUUUGACGGGUAGCCGGCCUGAGAGGGUGACUGGCCACAUUGGGACUGAGAUACGGCCCAGACUCCUACGGGAGGCAGCAGUGGGGAAUAUUGCACAAUGGGCGGAAGCCUGAUGCAGCAACGCCGCGUGCGGGAUGACGGCCUUCGGGUUGUAAACCGCUUUCGCCUGUGACGAAGCGUGAGUGACGGUAAUGGGUAAAGAAGCACCGGCUAACUACGUGCCAGCAGCCGCGGUGAUACGUAGGGUGCGAGCGUUGUCCGGAUUUAUUGGGCGUAAAGGGCUCGUAGGUGGUUGAUCGCGUCGGAAGUGUAAUCUUGGGGCUUAACCCUGAGCGUGCUUUCGAUACGGGUUGACUUGAGGAAGGUAGGGGAGAAUGGAAUUCCUGGUGGAGCGGUGGAAUGCGCAGAUAUCAGGAGGAACACCAGUGGCGAAGGCGGUUCUCUGGGCCUUUCCUGACGCUGAGGAGCGAAAGCGUGGGGAGCGAACAGGCUUAGAUACCCUGGUAGUCCACGCUGUAAACGGUGGGUACUAGGUGUGGGGUCCAUUCCACGGGUUCCGUGCCGUAGCUAACGCUUUAAGUACCCCGCCUGGGGAGUACGGCCGCAAGGCUAAAACUCAAAGGAAUUGACGGGGCCCCGCACAAGCGGCGGAGCAUGCGGAUUAAUUCGAUGCAACGCGUAGAACCUUACCUGGGUUUGACAUGGAUCGGGAGUGCUCAGAGAUGGGUGUGCCUCUUUUGGGGUCGGUUCACAGGUGGUGCAUGCCUGUCGUCAGCUCGUGUCGUGAGAUGUUGGGUUAAGUCCCGCAACGAGCGCAACCCUUGUUCACUGUUGCCAGCACGUUAUGGUGGGGACUCAGUGGAGACCGCCGGGGUCAACUCGGAGGAAGGUGGGGAUGACGUCAAGUCAUCAUGCCCCUUAUGUCCAGGGCUUCACGCAUGCUACAAUGGCUGGUACAGAGAGUGGCGAGCCUGUGAGGGUGAGCGAAUCUCGGAAAGCCGGUCUCAGUUCGGAUUGGGGUCUGCAACUCGACCUCAUGAAGUCGGAGUCGCUAGUAAUCGCAGAUCAGCAACGCUGCGGUGAAUACGUUCCCGGGGCU